AGGAUAAUAGUUAAUAUAACAUUUAAUUUGCACUUAAAAAACAUUGGAAUAGACCAAUUUAUCUUA
rnacentral:tRNA from 1 species